rnacentral:lncRNA from 1 species
UGUAAAUGUACGUAUUGAUGUACAAAAUGAUUCUGGUAAAUGCUGUGUGCCCCUGCUUCAGCCUCCAGACUCUUCCUUGUUCACCUCCCGGAGUGUAAUACAGCACAUCCUUUCCAUUGUUGAGAUGACACAGCCAGACUGAAAUGUUGUCUAGGAAGAAACCUCUGACUACUGUCUCUCUUUCUGUUUGUAGGGGGACUUUGGUGCAGUGAUAGGGCCACAGGGACCUAAGGGUGAGCCUGGAGUUGGAUAUAUGAGCGAUGGGUUGUCUCUAAGCAGAGGGUCUCGCGGGCCCAAGGGGGAGAGAGGUGUCCCAGGAUUGCCAGGAGACCAUGCUGAAAAAGGCGAACCUGGGGAGAAUAUCAUAGGCUCGCCUGGCCGCAUGGGACCGUCGGGAAAGCCGGGUAUUGAGGGCCCUCGCGGACCACCAGGUUUAUCUGGCCCUCCUGGAGCUCCAGGAAGAGAGGUAAGUGGGAUCAGUGAGUCCUUCCACUCUUAUUCACCCGUCACAUAUCUGCAGAUAAAAGAUUGCUGAAAGCAUAAAAGAAUGUCAGCUAUCUU